CUGCGCAUUUCCUGCACAGGGGGUGUUGGAAAUACACAUGUGCAUAUCUUCUUUUUUGGGAGGAGGGGGUUAUUGUGGUAAAAUACACAUAAAAUUUACCAUUGUAACCAUUGUAAAGUGUACAAGCCAGUGGCAGGAACUACAUUCACCAUGUUGUGCAGCCGUCACCAUUAUCUUGUUCCGGAACUUUUCAUCACUCCAGAUGGUCACCCUGUGUAUAUCCUUUCAAUUUCAGCUCCCCCUUGAGCUCGGGGUUCCCCGCUCUGGGUUGUGAGCAGGUAGGGUCAGCCCUGUACCACAGUGGCUAAUAUUGCUGCUUUCUUUGUAGGAUUGCUGAGGUCUUUGAAAACUGCCUUUCAGGGAAGGUUUCAGCUCGUCCCCAUACGUAUUCUAACUGGAAUAUUACCAUCAGCAGAUUCCUGAACCGAAGCUGCUGUUGAUGCUGCUGAGGCCCGUGCCCUGGAGCCUUGUGGGGAACAAGUCCUCUGCCGUUUGUGUGCCAAGGCAGGGCUUUGCUCCUUUUUGAAUCCCCUAACUUGCUCAGGGAUGUUCCCUUAAGUUGUAGGUAAUACCUGCAUGCCUGCUACCCUACCCGUACCACCUGAAAUCGCAGCCAAAACAAUAGUUCCACCCCAUCUGCCUGUAGAUAAGCCACAUGGAUUCCAGGCUAGUCUCUUCAUAACUGCCUCCUUAGCCUGGAGGAGAAGUUGAAUAACAGGACAGCUGACCUAGUGCUGUCUACCUAGGCCUGGCAAUAACCACUUAAAGCUAGAACCUUUAGACCCACAAAACCUAAUGCCUUGCCAGUUAAAAGGCCUAAUAUUCUCUCUUUCACAAUGGGUUUGCCGCCAGAACAUAGGUGUCGUAAACACCACAACUAAAAGCCAAAAUGGGAAAGGACAGGCCUCAUAUCAACAUCGUCAUCAUUGGACAUGUAGGUUCCGACAAGUCUACCACUGCUGGCCCUCUGACUUACAAGUGUGGUGGGAUUGACAAAAGAACUAUUGAAAAAUUUGAGAAGGAGACUGCUGAGAUGGAGAAGGGCUCCUUCAAGUAUGCCUGGGUCUUGGAUAAACUGAAAGCUGAACAUGAAUGUGUGUCACCACUAAUAUCUCCCUGUGGAAAUUUGAGACCAGCAAGUUUUAUGUGACCAUCUUUGAUGUCUCAGGACACAGAGUCUAUAUUUAAAAAACCAUUCUGUAAAUGGUUACAGGCACAUCUCAGGCUGCUUGUGCUAUCCUGAUUGUUGCUGCUGGUGUUGGUGAAUUUGAAGCAGGCAUCUCCAAGAAUGGGCAGACCCGUGAGCAUGCCCGUCUGGCUUACACACCGGGUGUGAAGCAGCUGAUUGUUUCUGUUAACAAAAUGAAUUCCACUGAGCCCCCCUAUGGCCAGGAGAGAUAUGAGGAAAUUGUUUAGGAAGUCAGCACCUGCAUUAAGAAAAUUGGCUACAACCCUGACACAGUAGCAUUUGUGCCAAUUUCUGGUUGGAACGGCGACAACAUGCUGGAGCCAAGUGCUAACAUGCUUGGUUCAAGGGAUGGAAAGUUGCCCAUAAAGAUGGCAAUGCCAGUGGAACCACGCUGCUUGACGCUCUGGAUUGCAUCCUGCCACCAACUGGUCCAACUGACAAGCCCCUGCAGCUUCCCCUCCAUGGUGUCUGCAGAACUGGUGGCAUGGGUCCUUCCCUGUGGGCCGGGUGGAGACUGGUGCUCUCAAACCCGGCAGGCGGUGACUUUGCUCCAGUCAGUGUCACAGCUGAAGGGAAGCCUGUUGAAAUGCACCGUGAAGCUUUAAGGAAAGCUCUUCCCGGGGACAAUGUGGGCUUCAGUGUCAAGAACAUGCCUGUCAAAGAUGUUCAUUGGGGCAAUGUGUCUGGUGACAGCAACAAUAACCCACUAUCGGAAGCAGCUGGCGUCACAGCUCAGUUGAUUACCCUGAACCGUCCAGGCCAAAUCAGUGCUGGAUACGCACCUGUGCUGGGUUGUCACCCCUCACGUUGCUUGCAAAUUUGCUGAGCUGAAGGAGAAGAUCGAUCGUCAUUCUGGGAAAAAGCUGGAAGAUGGCCCAAAGAUUUUGAGAUCUGGUGAUGCUGCCAUUGUUGGUAUGGCUCCUGGGAAGCUCAUGUGUGUUGAGAGCUUCUCUGACCCUCUGGGCCGUGUGGCUGUUCGUGACAUGACAGACAGUUGCUGUGGGUGUCAUCAAAGCUGUGGACAAGAGGGCAGCUGGAGCUGGCAAAGUCACCAUGUCUGCCCAGAAAGCUAAACGCAUUUUCCCCCAACACCUGCCACCCCCAUCUUGCUCGGUGGUGGAAGAAAGGCCUCAGAACUGUUGGUCUCAACUGGCCAUUUAAGUUGAAUAGUAAAAGACUGAUUAAUGAUUAAUGCGUCGUAAAACUUUCAGAAAGGAGAAUGUUUUGUGGACCAUUUGGUUUUUAUGUGUGUGUGGCAGGUUUUUAGUUUAUUAGUUUUUUAAAAAAGUACUUUUAAAUGGGAACAACUUUACCAAAAAAUCAGUCACAGAAUUUUA